GACGAACGCUGGCGGCGUGCUUAACACAUGCAAGUCGAACGGAAAGGCCUGCUUUCCCUUGUGGAUUGCGGGUACUCGAGUGGCGAACGGGUGAGUAACACGUGAGUGAUCUGCCCCCAACUUGGGUAUAAGCCUGGGAAACUGGGUCUAAUUCCCGAUAGGACUGCAGGGUGGUGCCUGUGGUGGAAAACGAUUUUCUAGUGGUUGGGGAUGAGCUCGCGGCCUAUCAGCUUGUUGGUGGGGUAAUGGCCUACCAAGGCGGUGACGGGUAGCCGGCCUGAGAGGGUGGACGGCCACAUUGGGACUGAGAUACGGCCCAGACUCCUACGGGAGGCAGCAGUGGGGAAUAUUGCACAAUGGGCGGAAGCCUGAUGCAGCGACGCCGCGUGGGGGAUGACGGCCUUCGGGUUGUAAACUCCUUUCGACCGCGAGGAAGCCACCUGGUUGGAAGGGUGGUGACGGUAGUGGUAGAAGAAGCACCGGCUAACUACGUG
rnacentral:rRNA from 1 species